CCUAUCAGCUUGUUGGNGAGGUAAUGGCUCACCAAGGCGACGACGGGUAGCCGGCCUGAGAGGGUGACCGGCCACACUGGGACUGAGACACGGCCCAGACUCCUACGGGAGGCAGCAGUGGGGAAUAUUGCACAAUGGGCGAAAGCCUGAUGCAGCAACGCCGCGUGAGGGAUGACGGCCUUCGGGUUGUAAACCUCUUUUAGUAGGGAAGAAGGGAGCUUCGGUUCUUGACGGUACCUGCAGAAAAAGCACCGGCUAACUACGUGCCAGCAGCCGCGGUAAUACGUAGGGUGCAAGCGUUGUCCGGAAUUAUUGGGCGUAAAGAGCUCGUAGGCGGUUUGUCGCGUCUGCUGUGAAAUCCCGAGGCUCAACCUCGGGCUUGCAGUGGGUACGGGCAGACUA
rnacentral:rRNA from 1 species